rnacentral:lncRNA from 13 species
ACCUAACUCACUUGUUUUAAGAUUUUCCACAGGCCAAACUGCACCAGCUUUUUCAUGUUAUCUUACGGUGGACUUCUCAACUCAUUUCAUACCAGAUUUGGCAAAAACACUCUCAGUUCAGCUGCUGUCUUCAAAUUGGAAUGCUGUGACAAGACACCCUGUUGCUUUUUCUGGUUUCUCCUGCACAGAGGCUGCUGUCCUGUGGGUCUUGUGAUUGUUGAUGGUUAUUGGUUUGCCUUUUCAUCCACAGCAGAGCUCAAAAUGAGCACAGCUUCCCCACAGAGCGAGUGCUAUGAGCAAUGUAGCAGUUCAUCUGCUUCAAGGUCUUCUUCCCACUACCAGAGACUACUGUGAUACAAUGACUAGAACACAGACAGAAUAUCAGCAUUUGAGAGGUGGGGUUCCAAUGUUAAGAAGAGGGCAUCUGAAAUGGAGGCUAAGUUGUGAUUUGGCUGCAAACAAUAAGAAAAAUCUGAGAGAUGAGGUCUCCCUAUGGUACCUAGCCUAGUCUCAAGCUCCUGGGCUGAAGUGAUCCUCCCACUUCAGCCUCCUAAAUUGCUGUAAUUACAGGUAUGGGCCACUGCUUCCAGCUUACUUAGGUAUUCUUUAGGAAGACAGAAUUUCUCAUGAUAGCUCUUCUUUUCCCUCUCUGAGCUCUCAGAAAAUCACCUUGAAUAGUUUAUUCAGGGUAGUCUAGGCUUUUUCUAGCAUGCUUCUCAAAACUUUUCUAGCCUCUAUGCACUACCUAUUUCCAAAAUUGCUUCUACAUUUUUAUGUAUUUGCAACAGCAGCACCUUCACUUCUCAGUAAGAAUUUCAGUGUGUGUCAUUUAAGGCUGCUAUUACAAAGCACUAUAGACUGGGUGCUUAUAAAUAGCAAAUGAAAAUGUAUUUCUCAUUGUUCUGGAGGCUGGAUGUCUGAGCUCAGGAUGCCAGUCAGCGUGGU